GAUGAACGCUGGCGGCGUGCCUAACACAUGCAAGUCGAACGUGAGGACUGGUUUCGACUGGUCUGAAAGUGGCGAACGGGUGAGUAACACGUAGGUAACCUGCCUCGAAGUGGGGGAUAACCACUGGAAACGGUGGCUAAUACCGCAUGGUCCUGUUGGUGCGGGAGCAUCGAUGGGUAAAGGGUUUACUGCUCCGAGAGGGGCCUGCGUCCGAUUAGCUGGUUGGUGGGGUAAUGGCCUACCAAGGCGAAGAUCGGUAGCUGGUCUGAGAGGACGAUCAGCCACACGGGAACUGGGACACGGUCCCGACUCCUACGGGGGGCAGCAGUGAGGAAUAUUGCGCAAUGGGGGCAACCCUGACGCAGCAACGCCGCGUGGAGGAUGAAGGUCUUCGGAUUGUAAACUCCUUUUCUUGGGGAAGAGCAAGGACGGUACCUGAGGAAUAAGUCACGGCUAACUACGUGCCAGCCGCCGCGGUAAUAC
rnacentral:rRNA from 1 species